GAACGCACAUUGCGCCCGCCAGUAUUCUGGCGGGCAUGCCUGUUCGAGCGUCAUUUCAACCCUCAAGCCCUCGGGUUUGGUGUUGGGGAUCGGCGAGCCUUUCUGGCAAGCCGGCCCCGAAAUCUAGUGGCGGUCUCGCUGCAGCCUCCAUUGCGUAGUAGUAAAACCCUCGCAACUGGAACGCGGCGCGGCCAAGCCGUUAAACCCCCAACUUCUGAAUGUUGACCUCGGAUCAGGUAGGAAUACCCGCUGAACUUAAG
rnacentral:misc_RNA from 1 species